CGGUAUUCUGCAAUAGCCCACAUUGGGUGAAUAUUUUUGUAUGCUGCAUAGUGUAGCAUACAGUUCUUCAAGUAGACUCCAAGGAUUUCCUGUAUAUAUGAUAUGAAAGAGUGACGGAUGGUUAGGAACCUUUGGAGAGAGGACGUACCUGUUGAGGAAAAUCACCAUCUGCCAGUUGAGAACUAUAUAUCAUCCAUAUAGAAGAAACCAAGGCAAACAGAGUGAAUCUUGCUUUAAGGCAUGGAAAUAAUCCAUGGUCUGAGGAGAAGCUUUUACAGCAAAUUCAAUGGGAAGUGAAGAUCCAUUUUAUUUCCCAAGCAUGAAAUCAUCACAAAAUCUGUUGAAACAAGUGGCUUAUAUUAUGAACGACCGUCCGGACGGUUUGAGGAAGCGUCCGAAUGCCCUCCGGUGUUCGGUGAAGUAUCCAAACGAUUCAGCAGACAGCAAAAAAUAGGGAGCUAGUGUUUGUAAAGAUGUCUGGACAAUACAGCAGACGCGACCCACCUAGAGCACAUGUUUGCUCAAGUGUCAAGACGCAAAUGCAGCAACUGCAAACAGUGAACCUCUUAUACGAGCGUUCAGACGCUAGGGCGUAGCCGUCAGGACGCAGGCCUUGGAAAAACGGGGAUUGAUGCGUGGGGAACUAGGGUUUUUUGGGGAGAUGCAGGGUUUACU